GAGUUCUCACUCUUGCUCUCUCUAUUCCCUCCAGAGUGAAACCGUAAGUUUUGCGGCAGAAAAGAAAAAGAAGGAGAAGAUAUCAGCAGAAGUUUCUACUGUCGUGGCCAAAGUCUUGCGGGAGACGAAGCCAAUCCCAAACUUGAUUUUCGCAAUAGAACAAUACGAGAAUUUUCUGAUCCAUCUCUCCAAAAAGUCCAAGGUAAAUUUGAUGCAGUAUAUGAAACUGAGUACCUCUCGGGACUUCCGCAUCAACGUCUCGACGGUGGAGAGUGCGCUACAGGAACAGGAUGCAGAUGAUGCUGAGAAUGAACCCGACAAUGACCAGCAUCCCGCUUCGGCGCAGUCGGACACCAGCCAGGAACCCAAGAGGAAGAAGCGACGGAAAAAAUAAGAGCUUUUAUUUGGAUCAAGUUAUGGUUUUGUCCUGACAAAAAACAAAAGUUGUUUCCCCUUUGGGAAUGUUAUCACUGGUGAAUUAUAAAAGUUGCCAGCUUAGUGCCUUAAGUUCCAUGGGAUUCCCUGAAUGCUAACACGACUAUUAGUCUGCUUACAACUGUUCUAUAAUGCACUUGCGGAGCAUAAUUGAAGCGCAGCCCUUCCUUUUUUGGGAAAAGCUGAGAAUUUGCCUUUAAAGUUGAACUCAUUUGUUGGUUUUCCACCUUCCUCUUGAUAUUCUGACAGUGAAAAGAAUCCAACGGAGAAUGGAGCUGGUCGUUGCGUAAAAGUCUGAUAGCGGAAGGAUUUCCUGAGCCAAUAUGUAACAUUUUAGCUUUGAAACAUCUGAAACCCUAUUUUUCUUUCUCCAAGGAGCUUUUGGUGAUUUUGAGGAGUUGGUAUAUAUCCAAAGCAUCACCUGGGGAAGAGAAAGAGAGGAAGAUGUCAUAUUCCUUUCACAUAAAACCUUUUUUGGGGGAGUUUCCCCAAAUUCACACAUUUGUGUUGCACUUCUUACUAAGUGAAUGUCAAUAAACAAACAAGGCUGCAUUGUAAA